rnacentral:rRNA from 1 species
CAGCAGCCGCGGGAAUACGUAGGUGGCAAGCGUUGUCCGGAUUUAUUGGGCGUAAAGCGAGCGCAGGCGGUUUCUUAAGUCUGAUGUGAAAGCCCCCGGCUCAACCGGGGAGGGUCAUUGGAAACUGGGAGACUUGAGUGCAGAAGAGGAGAGUGGAAUUCCAUGUGUAGCGGUGAAAUGCGUAGAUAUAUGGAGGAACACCAGUGGCGAAGGCGGCUCUCUGGUCUGUAACUGACGCUGAGGCUCGAAAGCGUGGGGAGCAAACAGGAUUAGAUACCCCGGUAGUCCCUGUCUCUUAUAC